ACUCCUACGGGAGGCAGCAGUGGGGAAUAUUGCACAAUGGGCGCAAGCCUGAUGCAGCGACGCCGCGUGCGGGAUGACGGCCUUCGGGUUGUAAACCGCUUUCAGCAGGGAAGAAGCUUUUGUGACGGUACCUGCAGAAGAAGCGCCGGCUAACUACGUGCCAGCAGCCGCGGUAAUACGUAGGGCGCGAGCGUUAUCCGGAAUUAUUGGGCGUAAAGAGCUCGUAGGCGGCUUGUCGCGUCUGCUGUGAAAGCCCGGGGCUUAACUCCGGGUGUGCAGUGGGUACGGGCAGGCUAGAGUGCAGUAGGGGAGACUGGAAUUCCUGGUGUAGCGGUGAAAUGCGCAGAUAUCAGGAGGAACACCGAUGGCGAAGGCAGGUCUCUGGGCUGUUACUGACGCUGAGGAGCGAAAGCAUGGGGAGCGAACAGGAUUAGAUACCCUGGUAGUCCAUGCCGUAAACGUUGGGCACUAGGUGUGGGGGACAUUCCACGUUUUCCGCGCCGUAGCUAACGCAUUAAGUGCCCCGCCUGGGGAGUACGGCCGCAAGGCUAAAACUCAAAGGAAUUGACGGGGGCCCGCACAAGCGGCGGAGCAUGCGGAUUAAUUCGAUGCAACGCGAAGAACCUUACCAAGGCUUGACAUGGACCGGAUCGCUGCAGAGAUGUAGUUUCCCUUCGGGGCUGGUUCACAGGUGGUGCAUGGUUGUCGUCAGCUCGUGUCGUGAGAUGUUGGGUUAAGUCCCGCAACGAGCGCAACCCUUGUCCUAUGUUGCCAGCACGUAGUGGUGGGG
rnacentral:rRNA from 1 species